GUUGCCAUCAGGUUAAGCUGGGGACUCUAAAGGAACUGCCUACGCAAGUAGUGAGGAAGGCGGGGAGUGACGUCAAAUCAGCACGGCCCUUACGUCCAGGGCUACACACGUGCUACAAUGGCCGAUACAGAGGGCAGCUACCUGGUGACAGGAUGCAAAUCUCCAAAGUCGGUCUCAGUUCGGAUCGGAGUCUGCAACCCGACUCCGUGAAGUUGGAUUCGCUAGUAAUCGCGCAUCAGCCAUGGCGCGGUGAAUACGUUCCCGGGCCUU
rnacentral:rRNA from 1 species